UUCUGUGUCGCAUUCUCCUCUACUUUGCUGAGCGAUUCUAUGCUUCCUUCUGUUUUUGGGUAUAUCAGAGCCAUGUCGUUAACAAUUCCUAAACAUUCAUCCGGCACCAACAACUCAUCAAGUGGAAGAGAGCCUUCAUUAGAAUAUGGGGUUGAUUGCUUAAGCCCUUUUGUUCUUCAUCACUCAGACAACCCAGGAACGAUCCUGGUUUCCCAACUUUUAAAAGGUAAGAACUAUUCCACCUGAAGCCAAACUAUGUUGAUGGCUUUGCUCACGAAUAACAAAACAAGGUUCGUAGACGGAAGUUAUCCCCAAGUUGCUCCAACAGCACCUGAGUUUGCAAUGUGGAGGCGCUGCAACCAUAUGGUUCUUUCGUGGAUUCUCAACUCAAUCUCCAAGGAUUUUGCUACAAGUAUCGUGUAGGCUACCAUGGUCAGUGAUGUUUCACAAGCCAGAAUUUUUUUUAUUUUUUAUUAGGGGCCAAAAGUAUGGUUUCAAAAUUUUAACAUGGACCAAAAUAUAAAUUUCCAAAAUUUUUUAUAUAGAACUAAAUAAAAAAUUUUAAAAGUUGCACAUAUUUUUUUUUUUCCCGAAGGGAGGCCAAAGCCCUUGCCUCCAUCACCACAGCUACUCGUGAGUAUCAAAUCAAAUCCUCUAUUAGUUGGCAUUCUCCAGAGAACAUGUCUGUUGUUGCGUAUUUUAUUCAACUAAAAGCACUGUGGAAUGAAUUAUCAACGUAUGAUGUCUUAUCUGAAUGCUUUUGUAGUGCCUCUGAACGACCGCGAGAAUGAGUUGUACAGGGGGAAAAUCCUUCUAAUGGAACCUUUUCCCUUUAUUCCUAAGGCCUACUCUCUCAUCUUGCAAGAAGAGAAAUAGAAGAGGUUCGAAUAUAAUCUAACAUUGUGGAAAAUGUUGGUCUCUCUACCACAUCUGAAAUGAAGGGACAACAAGAUAAUAGAAGCCUGCAGUAUUUUUGCAAUUAUGUCACGUCUCUAGCCACACCAAAUAAUGGUGCUACAAGCUCAAUCGCUACCCGCCUGAUUUCGAGGGACCAAAGCAAAGGAUAGACAAAACUUCGAGCCCAAACGUGUCUACCAAUGACAAAGGUGGUGGCGCUAAAGCCUUCAGUUCAGUCACUCAUCCUGAUGACUCUAACAAGGACGUUGUUCCAAACUUGACAUUGGAUUAAUAUAAUCAACUCAAACUUCUUAUCAAAGACAGGUUCUUCACACAUUCAAAUUUUGCAGGUAUCAUGAGUUCCUUCAAAGCUGAUAUAUGGAUAGUAGACAGUGGCGCACGUGAUGAUCUGUCCUCUUCCUUAGAAUCUACUUUUGAUGUUACAGAACUUAUUGUUCCCUACCCAUCAAACUUCCUGACAUUCGAGUCUUGUAUGCUUCUCAUGCUGGAAACAAUCUCACUGAUGAUUACUGAAGUGGGGUCAAUCUAGAGGUGAUCUGUUCAUCUACAACAUCUGGAUUCAAUCAGCUAAAUGCAUGAACAUUCUCUCAAUGCCUACACCAAGUAACCUUUGGCACCUUAGGCUCAGCUUAAACAUGCGUGCGACAUUCUAGCGUCAAACCCUUUCAGCUGAUGAUGGCGAAGUAUUGAAAGAUCCUUCCACAUACCGUCGCUUAGUGGGAUGCCUUAUUUAUCUAACAAUCACAAGGUCAGAUAUGCAGAAGCCUACAACAAUUCACCUAAAGGCAGCAUAUCAAGUGUAAAGAAUACCUCAAGUCACAACCAGGCCAAGGCGUUUCCUGUCCAGCUAAUGACAAAGUUUCAAAUCAAAGCCUACCAUGAUGCAGACCGGGGCACUUCCAGAGACACUCGAAGAUCGUCCACAGGCUACUACGUUUAUUCAAGCAAGAGCUUGGUUUCAUGAAAAACAAUUAAGCAGCACAUAGUGUCUAGAUCCACAGUGAGUACCGCCCAAUGGCAAACACAUGCUGUGAGAUUAUAUGGUUAAAACAUUUACUGUUAGAGCUACAAGUCGAUCUCUCUUCUCCAGCAUUGUUGCGUGGUAAUAAAUCUGCUAUUCAUAUUGCAGCUAAUCCCAUCCUUCGUAAGCGAACCAAGCAUAUCGGGCUUGGUUGCUAUUUGGUAAGAAAUUUGAUAAAAAGUGGAAGCAGUUACAAGGUACGUUUCAUCUCAAGCACCAUUGACUGAUUUACUAACAAAAUCCCUUUCAAAGGAGCAAUUCUCUUCAUUGAAGUUCAAAGGGGGGUGUUGUGAAAUGAAGGAGAAAUUGCAGAGUUGCAGAACUAAUGUUUAAAAGGACAACUCUGCCUUAUAAAUGUAAGUCUCGAUAAAUUGGGAUUCAGAAGCAUGCGUGAAGAUAUUUCUUAUUACCCACUCUUAGAGUGGCCCAUUUCAUUGGCUGAUUCUUUCUGCUUGUUGUAAUUGGUUCUGUAUGAAAAGAGAAAUAACAGAGAAAAACAGAACCCUUACUACACUA